rnacentral:lncRNA from 1 species
UGACACAGUGCCUGGGGUUGAGUAGGCCUCAGAGAAUGGCUCUUAAAUGGAAUCGGGCCACACUGAUGAAGGUGCUAUAAGCAAAACAUGAAAGGCUCAGAACAUCUUUCUUGGCUGUGGUGCCUGGGGGAGGUGUCAGGGCAGAGGUAGCACUUGGGUUGGCCUUGAAGGACAGGUCAUCCUUUGUAACCAGACAAGUGACGUGGGCACCCCAGGUGGAUAAGUUGGCCUGGGUAGAUGUAGGGAGAUGGGAAGAUUCUGGCAUAUUUGGAAAGUGAAGAAUGUUUAGUUUGGCUAAAAUCUAGAGUUUCUUAAGGGAAAUAGUGAGUGAAAGGUCUGAAAAGUUGUCCAAAGCAAGCUUGGGAAAGACCUCAGACACCAGACUAGGGCUUUUGACCUGAUCUGCUCAGAUAUGUAACCUAUGGAGGCUGUUCUUUAAUAGACAGAUGAGUGAACAUGACAACAAAUUGUGCUUUAAGAAGCUGAAUCUUGCCUUCUAGACAGGAAGACCAUCAAACAAACAGCUUGGGAGGAAAAGUGCUGUGGCAGUGUGAAGAAAGAGGAACAGAUGAGAUACUGAGAGUGGUCCUCAGGGAGACUGAACAGGAUUUGGCAACUUGGUGAGGAUCAAAGAUAGUUGAGGAGUCCUCUGUGUGUGCUUACUCCCUGUACCUAGAAAACUUGCCGUUUCAUUUGAGGGAGUGGAAAGUUGGAAUCUGCGAGAAAUCUCCUGCCCUGCAGAGGGAGCUGCCCAUGAAACUCCAUCACUAACUUGCACUAGAAAUGAGGUAAUUUCCUUGAGGUGCAGGUUUGUCACCUCUACUGGCCUAUUCCAGAGGCCUCGCCUGCUCAGAUUUCAUUUGCAUUUUACAGGUAACUCAUGGAGUUACCCCAAAAGAUCAUGGACUUGUCUUUAAAAAUCAAUGGAUUUUCUCGUUUGAAAUUUGUGAAUCUGAAUUAAGUGUGUCACAUCUGAUGUUCGUGUUUUAAAUGUUUUAAACUGGUUUGCUGUGAACCACUAGCACUAUCCCAGGCUCAAACUUAUUUAGAAAGCAUGUUGGGUUCUGGGAAUAAUCCUAGUAGCCUGUCCUUCUGUCAGAGCUUUUAGAAAGGGCUUUCCUCCUCACGUAAGUAAACACCCCAAAAUGACAUCAAAAUUCCCUCUAAGUCUCAGCAUUUAACCAAUAAUUUUUAGUUUCUUGUUGUUUACGUUCAGUCUAAAAGGCCAAACACAGAUGCAAUAUUGUGGGAGAAAUUAACUGUCUUGAUUCCAGAACUGAGCUGAUACCUUCCCAAGGUGAGAUCCCUGUGAGAUGUUCCCCGGGU